rnacentral:piRNA from 1 species
AAGGGCAUGCUAGUAAGAAACUGGGA